UACGUAGGGCGCGAGCGUUGUCCGGAAUUAUUGGGCGUAAAGAGCUCGUAGGCGGUCUGUCGCGUCGAUCGUGAAAACUUGGGGCUUAACCCUGAGCUUGCGGUCGAUACGGGCAUGACUGGAGUUCGGCAGGGGAGACUGGAAUUCCUGGUGUAGCGGUGAAAUGCGCAGAUAUCAGGAGGAACACCGGUGGCGAAGGCGGGUCUCUGGGCCGAUACUGACGCUGAGGAGCGAAAGCGUGGGGAGCAAACGGG
rnacentral:rRNA from 1 species